rnacentral:misc_RNA from 1 species
AUUCUAUUUUAUGAAGGAUUUAAUUUAGUGCACUUUGAUCACAAUAAGUAACUUUUCUGUAUACAUCAAGUAAAAAAUUGGCGUGCACACAUGCGCUCACCCACAUACAUGCCUUAUUUUACUUAUACACAGAAUAAAAAAGGUUGUAAGAGGGGAUAUUUUUGCUUAUUAAAAUAACGUAAAUAUAAAGUUGGUUUAAAUGUGUUUCUUUAUGUCCUGUGCCACCACUCAUUUUUCUUUCCCUUCCUUUGCCCCUCUACACGGUUUAGUAGGGCUAUGCACGGUUCCUAGGGGAACCGAACCGAACCGAACCGAAAAGCCAUACUGAACGGACAAGAACUGUACCGAAUCGAA